GGUGGAGCGAUUUGUCUGGUUAAUUCCGAUAACGAACGAGACUCUAGCCUGCUAAAUAGUUCGCCGAUUGUCUAAUCUGUCGGCGUUAACUUCUUAGAGGGACAAGUGGCGUUUAGUCACAAGAAAUUGAGCAAUAACAGGCCUGUGAUGCCCUUAGAUGUCCGGGGCUGCACGCGCGCUACACUGGCAAAAUCAACGUGCUUGUCCUUCCCCGAAAGGGGCGGGUAAACCAUUGAAAAUUUGCCGUGAUUGGGAUCGGAAAUUGCAACUAUUUUCCGUGAACGAGGAAUUCCAAGUAAGUGCGAGUCAUCAGCUCGCGUUGAUUACGUCCCUGCCCUUUGUAC
rnacentral:rRNA from 1 species